rnacentral:rRNA from 1 species
CUACGGGCGGCAGCAGUGAGGAAUAUUGCACAAUGGGGGGAACCCUGAUGCAGCAACGCCGCGUGGAGGAUGACGCAUUUCGGUGUGUAAACUCCUUUUAUAUGUCAAGAAAAUGACGGUAGCAUAUGAAUAAGCACCGGCUAACUCCGUGCCAGCAGCCGCGGUAAUACGGAGGGUGCAAGCGUUACUCGGAAUCACUGGGCGUAAAGGACGCGUAGGCGGGUUGGAAAGUCAGGUGUGAAAUCCUACAGCUUAACUGUAGAACUGCACUUGAAACUUCUAAUCUAGAGUAUGGGAGGGGGAGAUGGAAUUAGUGGUGUAGGGGUAAAAUCCGUAGAUAUCACUAGGAAUACCUAAAGCGAAGGCGAUCUCCUGGAACAUUACUGACGCUAAGGCGUGAAAGCGUGGGGAGCAAACAGGAUUAGAUACCCCCGUUAGUC